rnacentral:rRNA from 1 species
CCCUUAGAUGUCCUGGGCUGCACGCGCGCUACACUGAUGUGUCCAGUAAGCACCUAACCUCUUCCGAAAGGAACGGGUAACCUUUGCAAAGCACAUCGUGAUGGGGAUAGAUUAUUGCAAUUAUUAGUCUUGAACGAGGAAUUCCUAGUAAGCACAAGUCAUCAGCUUGUGUUGAUUACGUCCCUGCCCUUUGUACACACCGCCCGUCGCUCCUACCGAUUGAAUGUUCCGGUGAGCUCUUCGGACUGCGCGGUCUGCAGUUUCUGCGUUCCGUUCGGAAAGUUGCGCAAACCUUAACAUUUAGAGGAAGGAGAAGUCGUAACA